GUUUUGUUUUCCUUAAGUCUUACUUCGAUCUGCUUUGUUAAUUGUUAGAUUGUUUAGUCUUAGGUUAGUGUUGUAUAUUUGUUGGAGAACAUCAAUGGAUGAGCUGUCUUUGUGAGAAUCACUGCUGGAGAACAAACACUUGGCAAGAAUCAUCUUUUCCAUAUCAAAGAAUGGAAAUUUAUCUACAAUGAUCUACCUGAUAAUGAACUACAAACAACUGUUUUAAGACUACAAACACUAGAGAGACUUGAUGUUUUACCGUUAAAUUGAAACAGUACAGUAAAAGCUACAAUGAAAACUUGUUUUUCUUAACUUUAUUUUGCACUGGGUUUUACAAUGAUGAAAUGUUUCAUAUGUAAAGAUUAAAAUGACUUACUAAAAUGGC